rnacentral:rRNA from 1 species
UUCUUUUUGUUUUUAUAUAAAGUAUAACCUGCUCAAUGAUUUAUAAAUAGCCGCGAUUUUAUCGUGCUAAGGUAGCAUAAUAAUUUGUCUUUUAAUUAAAGUCUAGGAUGAAUGGUUGGACGAGAAAUUUACUUUUUUAACUUAAUUAUUUAUAAUUUUAUCUUUUAGUAAAAAAGCUAAACUGUUUUUAUGGGACGAUAAGACCCUAUAGAAUUUUAUUUUUAAAGUUUUAUUUUUAUUUAUUUUAUAUAAAAUAAUAUUGAUUAAAUUUGAUUGGGGCGAUUUUUAAAUUUUUAUAACUUUAAAUUUUAUUAAUCAUUAAUUAAUGAUUAUUUUGAUCCUUUAUUAAGGAUUAUAAGAAAAAAUUACCUUAGGGAUAACAGCGUAAUUUUCUUGGGGAGUUCUUAUUUAUAAGAAAGAUUGCGA